CAGCCGUAAACGAUGCGCGUUAGGUGUAUCGACGACCACGAGUCGUCGAGGUGCCGAAGGGAAACCGUGAGACGUGCCGCCUGGGAAGUACGGUCGCAAGGCUGAAACUUAAAGGAAUUGGCGGGGGAGCACCACAACAGGUGGAGCCUGCGGUUUAAUUGGACUCAACGCCGGAAAUCUCACCGGAUAAGACAGCUGAAUGAUUGUCAAUCUGAAGGUUUUACAUGACUAGCUGAGAGGAGGUGCAUGGCGUCAGUGACU
rnacentral:rRNA from 1 species